rnacentral:rRNA from 1 species
AUUGAACGCUGGCGGCAUGCCUUACACAUGCAAGUCGAACAGUAACGCGGGGCAACCUGGCGACGAGUGGCGAACGGGUGAGUAAUGUAUCGGAACGUGCCCAGUUGUGGGGGAUAACUGCUCGAAAGAGCAGCUAAUACCGCAUACGACCUGAGGGUGAAAGCGGGGGAUCGCAAGACCUCGCGCAAUUGGAGCGGCCGAUAUCAGAUUAGGUAGUUGGUGGGGUAAAGGCUCACCAAGCCAACGAUCUGUAGCUGGUCUGAGAGGACGACCAGCCACACUGGGACUGGGACACGGCCCAGACUCCUACGGGAGGCAGCAGUGGGGAAUUUUGGACAAUGGACGCAAGUCUGAUCCAGCCAUGCCGCGUGCGGGAAGAAGGCCUUCGGGUUGUAAACCGCUUUUGUCAGGGAAGAAACGCUCUGGGUUAAUACCUCGGGGUAAUGACGGUACCUGAAGAAUAAGCACCGGCUAACUACGUGCCAGCAGCCGCAGUAAAAC